rnacentral:rRNA from 1 species
AUUGAACGCUGGCGGCAGGCCUAACACAUGCAAGUCGAGCGGAUGAAGGGAGCUUGCUCCUGGAUUCAGCGGCGGACGGGUGAGUAAUGCCUAGGAAUCUGCCUGGUAGUGGGGGAUAACGUCCGGAAACGGGCGCUAAUACCGCAUACGUCCUGAGGUAGAAAGUGGGGGAUCUUCGGACCUCACGCUAUCAGAUGAGCCUAGGUCGGAUUAGCUAGUUGGUGGGGUAAAGGCCUACCAAGGCGACGAUCCGUAACUGGUCUGAGAGGAUGAUCAGGCACACUGGAACUGAGACAGGGUCCAGACUCCUACGGGAGGCAGCAGUGGGGAAUAUUGGAGAAUGGGCGAAAGCCUGAUCCAGCCAUGCCGCGUGUGUGAAGAAGGUGUUCGGAUUGUAAAGCACUGUAAGUUGGGAGGAAGGGCAGUAAGUUAAUACCUGACUGUUUUGACGUUACCAACAGAAUAAGCACCGGCUAACUUCGUG